rnacentral:lncRNA from 1 species
UCUUAUCAAGUACAUCUGAUUGUCAGCGAGAUCUCUCGGACCUCAUCUCUUCCAUUGGUGAGCUACCUGCCAUAUGCUCUCCAUACCUCUCUCCAUUGUCUCCUAGGGCCACUUCUUUCAAAUUGAUGUUUCUGAGCAUCUGAGUAUGUUCUAUAUGUGCUGUUUCCACCAUGUUUCUUUUGGGCAUUUCUCAUCUCUUCUUCAAGAUCAUACUGUGAGCGCUGCAAACAGAUGGCAAUUGACAAAAAUAAACACCAAAUUUUCUCACUGAAAAAACAUAACUAGAAUAAGUAAAAUUAACAGUGUGCUACAAAAGAAGGGCACAAUGCCAACGGUGAAAAAGAAAAUCGUCAUCAAUUAGAUUUAUACUGAAGCCAAUUUUUAACCUUCAAGUUAAAAGGAUUUACCACAGAUAAUGGAUGGCAAAGCGAUAGACCCUUUUCAAUCUAAGAGAUAAAACGUGUGAACUAGAAAUACAGAGGAAAGAGAACCAUGUGAAUUGAUCUAAAACCCAAGAACAAAUUCAAAUUGAGUAUAUCUACAAGAGAGAAAACAGGAAGGAGCACUAUAUUGAUCUAAAUAUAAGAAAUCCACAGCUGAUCCAAAUAUGCUAAGCUUACAAGCAAAUCUUUUGUUACCUCCAAAGGCAUUUGAAAAAGGCUGAUAUCACUAAGGUAGUGAGUGAUGAGAAUUAUGUAAAUGGAAAUGUAUGUCAUGAAUAAUAAGGAGAAUAAGGCUAUGUUUGGUUCAAUUUCAAUUCCUAAAUUUUUGUGGAAUUCAAUUGAAUUCCAUGUUUUGUGUAUUUGGUUUCAAUAAAAAUUAAAAUUCAAUUCUAUGGAAUUGAUUAUAACUAAAAUGAAUUCCUAUCAAAUUUGAUGGAAUUAAUUUACACAUCUUUUGGACUAAAAUGCCCUUCCUAAAUAAUUUUCUCUCAAUAAUUUAUCCCUUAUGCUUUAUUGGACAUAAAAGUGAAAACUAUAAAACUAGUUUUCUAUUUAUCUACUAUUAUUAUAUAUAGACAAUUAUAUAAUAUAUUUUCCUUAUUUUUCUAAUUUUAUAAUAUCUAAGUUUAUGUUCUCUUACUAAAACUGUUUAUUUUAUUAUGUAAAUCUCCUAAUCAUGAAAAUUUAUUUUAAAUUUAUUAAUAUAUUUUUAAUGGGUUUAUAUUUUUUUUAAUUGUUAUAAAUUAUUAGAUAUAAAAUUUUUUGAUAGAGUAAAACUUUUUAUUUUACUCUGAAGGGUAAUUUAGGAAAUGAAAAGAUGAAUUAUGUGAAAUUCAAUUGAAUUCUGCAUUUUAAAUUGUGUCAUAACAAACAGAAUUUAUUUCAAAUGAAUUCUAUUUAGAAUUCAAUUAAAUUCCACAUAGUUUUGUAAAAUAGAAUUGAACCAAACACUAUGUAAGGAAAUGUAAUUCUAUGGGGAAGAGGGUAGAAAAAAGAUAUAGCUCACUAGCUCAGAACUAGUCAGAGAAGUCAAAAGGCAGUUAUUUCUGUCACUAAAACAGUGUACAGAUAACAGUCUACGGGCUGGAAAAGAUCAGUAAAAAAAUAUCAAGAUUAUAAUAAUUUCCCUUUCUACUUAUUUCCUUUUUUCCCUCAUCUAAGUUCUAUUUCUCUCCAUUUCUUCUCCUGUUUCUCUUCUCUUCCUUUCUCUAUUUCUCCCUAAUGUCUACUCUUUUCUGGAAUGAAGAAUUCUGCUUCAUAACAGUGCACUAUGAUUUUUCGCUUACAGGAGGGACAAAAGAGUGAAGAUCCAAGGAAAAAAGAAAAAAGGACAAAAGGAAAAAGCUAAAAAAAAAAGUGUUUUCAUUCUUCAUAGGGUACAGUCUACUAUUUUCAUAGACAAUGCAUGCACAACCAGGCAACUGUUCUGAGAAACUUGUUAUGUCUUCAAUUUCUUGGCACUGUUCGGAGAAGCUGACUGCGACCAUUACCAGGCAAGUGUCCUAACAUCAUGUAAACAUAAUAGUACCAUGAUUUUCACCAAAAACCACUUAAUAAGCUGCCUAGUAUUCUUGUAAUUUCUGUUUAAUGUUUAUAUUAGUUUUUGAGUUUGCUUUUACCUAUUGCUUCUUUAUGCUUACACCUUUCUUGCACUUCUUUUCCACCUAUUAUGUGCUAAACAACUUGCACUUGAAAUCAGAGCUUAUUAGUGGCAAAGACAACCACACCCUUGGCCAGACCAACUUAAAGUAAGUUGAUAAUACUUCACUAGGCAAGUCUCCUCG